GCCAAGAGUAGAAGCGUUCACCUGCACAGUUUGCUUGCAGUCCGGAAAUUGCUCUUGAA
rnacentral:ncRNA from 1 species